CCGCACGCGCGCUACACUGAAGGGAUCAGCGUGUUCUCCCUUUCCGAGAGGAACGGGUAACCCGCUGAACCCCCUUCGUGGUAGGGAUCGGAGCUUGCAAUUGUUCUCCGUGAACCAGGAAUUCCCAGUAAGCGCAAGUCAUAAGCUUGCGUUGAUUACGUCCCUGCCCUUUGUACACACCGCCCGU
rnacentral:rRNA from 1 species